rnacentral:hammerhead_ribozyme from 1 species
GCACUGCUGACGAGUCCUAAACAGGACGAAACAGUUGUCUAGUGA